UCACCCCUACGUCCCACGCGAUUUGCACUUACCCGGCUACGCUCCCUGCUUCCUUUCCAUGUCCAACAUUCUUUCCGUCUUCGCCUCCUCCUCAUUGCUCAUCGUCACUCUCGUCUGGAUCUUCUCUGGUACUAUCAAUUAUGAAACUUUUUAACUUCAAUAAACGACCCAUCAGCGGAAUUUGUUCAUUUCUCGUGAAAAAGAUGCUUUUUUUAUUAUUUUAUUUAUGCACCCAGUGUUCAGUUUCAAAACUUUUUAUCUCUUUUAAUGUCGAAAUACCUUUCAUUAGAACAAUGAUGUUUGGUUACACACUCCACUUGGUGGUUUUCCACUUUUACAGAUAACCAAGUAGUUAGACGUGAUUUUUUAUGUUUCAAUGUUGAUUCCAACCACGCUAAAAAACAAAACACAGAUCCACUUUUUAUUGUUUCUUUUAUGUAACCGACGUGCAGGGUCUUCAAUCUUGAUUCGCAUUUAAAACAUAUCAUGUUGUUGAGGGGAAGGACUAAAAGAUUAUUAGAUGGUCAUGUUAGGGUUUUUUUUUUUUUUGGAUUCAUAGGAAUCGAAGAAGACAGGUAUGAGGGGGUUUAGAACAACUCACAGGAUUUGUUUUUUUAUUUUAUUUUUUAUUCUGGUUGAGAAUAUACAGUAUGGCAAUAAUUAAUAAGUUGCUCUGUGAUUAACUUUUUUCUGCAUUUGAUUUGGUAUUCAACAGUAUUGCCUAGUGCUUUUUUAUUCAAUACAAUCCAAAAGGGGUUACCCAUUGCCAUGUAUUGUUUGAACCUAUUCAUUGUCCUGCUUAGUAACGGUCAAACCGUCCUUUCUCUCAUUAACUAUUGUGCAAUGGGACAAAAUUAGAUGCAAUAGGUGCUUUUGGUGAUGUUUUUGUUUUCUAAUUGAAGUUUUACCUUGGUAAUAUGGGUAAUAAAGGUUUGCAUUAAAGAUCAAUGUAGGUUAAAGAGAUGAAACUCUAAUUUUGAUCGGAGAAUUGGAGAACAAUACUCAAAAUAUCCAAGAGUUUGCGUCUAAGUUUUGUCCAACUAAAGAAACCAUAUCAGUUGGUGUAUGCUGUCUCAGUUCACUCUGUGUUCUCUCAGUUCCUUUGUUUUUGAGUACAUUGCUUUUUUCCUUUUAAUUAGUUCACAAGGCACUCACACUAUAUCAUCUGUUGCAAGUUUAUGGUUUAGUCUCUGUUUCUGUUUUGGCUUCCUACUAUUAUUUUUAUUUGAAUUUCUGUAAUCAGAUUCGCAUAAAUGAUUGAAGGUUUUCUGUUUUUGUUUUCAUGACUUUGUAUUCUCCCAGGACGCUUUAAGAAAACCAAAGUUGAUAGAGUGCUGAUGUGCUGGUGGGCCUUCACAGGUCUCACACACAUUAUUCUUGAGGGUUAUUUUGUUUUCUCUCCUGAGUUUUUCAAGGAUAAAACUGGCUUCUACCUGGCUGAAGUUUGUGAGUUUCUUUGGCAUUGAACAAUGAUAUUGUUCAAAUUUGGAGUACCCUUCAAGGAAUUUGCAGUUUUUUUAGUUGAUGGAAGUUUUUUAAUGAACAAAUAACAGGGAAGGAAUAUAGCAAAGGGGAUUCAAGGUAUGCAGGAAGGGAUGCAGGGGUAGUUACUGUUGAAGGAAUAACAGCGGUUUUGGAGGGUCCAGCUAGCCUUCUAGCAGUGUAAGUUGAAAAUAAAUUAAACAAAGGACCAAGAGAACUAAUGCUAUGAUGCUGCUACUAAUGAUUUUUAUUUUUUUGCUCAGUUUGACUCUGUAUUGCAUGUUUUAUCUUCUCAUUUUUUCACAUAACUGUUUGUAUUACCAAUAUGGAUGACAGAUACGCUAUAGCUACUGGGAAGUCAUAUAGCUACAUACUUCAGUUUGCCAUUUCUUUGGGCCAGCUAUACGGAACUGCUGUUUAUUAUAUAACAGCAAUCUUGGAAGGUGAUAAUUUUUCUACAAACUCGUUUUACUAUUAUGCAUACUACAUUGGAGCAAAUGCCUCCUGGAUUGUAAUACCCUUGAUCAUUGCCAUCCGCUGCUGGAGGAAGAUCUGUGCAGCAUUUCGAGUUCAAGGUGGCCAGACAAAAAAGCCUAAAGUUCGUUGAAGGAAACAUUUUCAGGUUAUUGGUCUUAGAGAUCCUGAGCUAAUAAUGAUGUUUUGGGGUAGUUGAGAUAGGAGAGAUUGUUGUAAGAAUUGUGACAUUGAUUCUCUUAAACUGCAUAUCUCAGGGAGAAAAAAAAAAUCCCAGUGUCAUUUGAGAAGGUGAUGUUUUUAAUUUUAAGUUUUGAAUAAGUAUUUUCCUAUCAUUGAUUUGAAAUUGAAUAUUGAAUGUUAGCUGGCAGAUGCUAGAAUAUAGACACCAGCGCUUUUGCUCUUUGUAGCUACACUUGUUUUCCUUAAUUUUCAUUUGGAAAGAAAAAAUAAAUGACCUCAGUGUUGUGUUUUAGGUGGGUAUUUUAUUUGUUUUCUGUCGUAUAUAGAUUUUUAAAUAAAAGAAUAGUUUUUUUUUUUAAACACUAGAAAGUAUAGAAAACAUUGAAUCAGAUCGCAAAGCCAGCAAAUCCUUGUCUUCAUUCAACAAUUCCAAGACUCUCUGAAACCUAACAUGGAGCCUAUAUUCUUGUUCUGUUAGAAUAUUCGGAGAACAUCUUGUGAUGUUGUAAUUGUAUCUGAGAAUAUUUUUACUUUCUCAUUACACUAUUCUAGUUAUCCUUGAUAAAUUGUGAGCUUAUUAAGCAAAUCACAGUGAUGCAUCCGAACUUUGAGAAAUUUUACAUAGCUAUCGAUUUUCCUUAAGAUUACUUACCAGAUGCUGACCAUGAUGAUGAAGUAUCUUUUUAAAAAUUUCUCAUGUGUAGAUGAAAAAACAAAAUGUUUUUCAGUCCAAUUCUAGCAAAGCACCAAAUUAAACAGUACAUUAGUUGGAGCAUGGGUUGCAUUUCGUUGACUAGAACAUACCAAUUCUAACAAAGCAACCAAAUUAUACAGUGAUUAAUUCCACCAGUUUAAACUGACAAAUGUUAUGCGAUAUGGACAUGCUUAUUUUCAUUCGCAGUCCUUACUAUUUACAAGUGUUGACUUCAGUAUGGCAAAAUGACUUUUGCCAGAACCGUAGUAUUUUCAUUGUAAGAAUUUAACAAAGGGAUUAAUAUGAUAGUAAGUAUAUUUGUUUCUUAUUUGUUAUUUAUGAAAUGACAAUAAAUUGAUCUCAUUUUUCAUUUACUAUUAUCUAAUUGGUGUAUCUUAGUUGACAACACAGGUUAAAUUUUGUAAAGGAAAACUUGAGUUUAAUCUCUACAAAAUACAAUGUUAGGGAAGGAUGAAAAACUUUAAAUGUGACUAAGUUUUGAACUAAAAAUUAAUUUUAUAAUCGACCCAAAUGACUGAAGCUUGUGAAAAUAUCUGAGAAUCAAGGAUUCUACUGGCUACUGACGUACCAAAAGCCCUAAUUAUUAUGAGAAUAUCUCGAAAGUCCUACCAAUUUUUAGAGAGUCGAAAUCCAUAGUUACCAUGAUUAUAAAAAAUAUAUCUUUUUUUAAUAGUAAUAUAUAUAUAUGCACACUUAGAGAGCGAGCCCUGGUGCAGCGGUAAAGUUGUGCCUUGGUGACUUGUUGGUCAUGAGUUCAAAUCUGGAAACAGCCUCUUUGCAUAUGCAUUAAUUCAUGGUUAUAACAAUUCAUAUAUAUAAUUUAAUUAAUUGAUUUAGACUCGCUUAAUAUUUACCUUAAUUUGUAUUAAAAUGAGUUUAAUUUUUAUACAUCAUUAGUGUAAAAAAUUGUAAUUUGUUAGUGAAUAAAAAAGUAUAAUCAAUAUAAUUAUUAUAAAAGUUAAUCAACUUAUUAUAAAUUAUCAUUGAUAGUUAAAUCACAAUAAUGGCUGAAAUCUAACUCAAUUAGUUAAAUAAGAUAGAUAAACUAUUAUAAAUUCCUCUCUCUAUAUAUAUAUAUCCUCCUACCAUAGAUAAAAAAAAAUCAGAAUAUAAAAACUCUUUACACACUUCACACAUACACUGAUUUAUCAUUAACAAUAGCUGUUAGUUUUUGACAGUUGGCCAAAGGUCACGUAAUAUACGUUCAUGAAUUGGACUUCCACCACGUGCCAGCGGUAAAACAAGAUAAUGAAGCUGCAAUGAUUUGGUCAGUUUACCAAGAAGUCAUAUAAGUAUCCAUCCACUUAUCAAAUCUCGUCCCUUUCCGAUCAUGAUUCCCUUCAAAUUUUAUUUCAAGUGCAUCAAUCUCAACCAUUUAUAUAUACUAAAAUAAAACAUUUAGAAAAAAAUAAUUUGAAAAGAAUGGAGGGUGAAAGAUUGAACUGCAUCCCUGCACUUAUUUUUCAGCUACAGAGGAUCCGUAUCCUUCCCUCUCAUCCACACUCUUUCUACCGAAAAGUUAUCAGUCAGUAAAACUCUUAAACGAUAGAAAAAAUAUGAUUAAAAAAAAAAAUCUUACUAAAUUUUACGAGUCAAGUGUUCUGAUGAAGAAUGAAGUACAGAUACUUCAUUUCUUUGUUCUGUCUCGUGUCCGACACGCAUUCAUGUCAGUAUCCGACACCGGCAUGAUAUCCGUAUUACAUUCUAUAUUUUGAACAUUCCAUGUGUUCAUGUCCGUAUCAUGUCUGGUGUCUGUGUCGGUGCGUGCUUCAUAGUUAAUGAGAGACAAAACCAAUAAAUAUUGUAUACCACUAAGAUAAUAACAAAAGAAACUAUUCACUCUGUCCAACCAAGUACUCAACACUUGAAAGCACUAAACAGUAUAUCCCAUUCAGCCUCAUUGCAGAAGAAGAAGAUGGAGGGGUCUCGAGUCUCAGAGUCAGAGGGUCACCCCUACGUCCCACGUGACUUGCACCUUCCUGGCUACGUUCCUUGCUUCCUUUCCGUCUCUAACAUUCUAUCUGUCUAUGUCUUCUCUUCUCUCCUCCUUCUCUCUCUCGUCUGGAUCUUCUCAGGUACCACCAGCACAACACUUUUCUCCAAGUUUUUAGUAAACUCUCCACAACCCAUCAAGUAUUACACUUUCGCUUAAAUAUUCUUUCAAAUAAUGAUGAAGUAGUCUUAAAAGUAUUAAAUAUCCAUCAAUUUAGUUCCUACAUUGAUAUACGAGGAAAAUGUGGUUUUAGUCUUUAUAUUUUUCAGGAAAUGUGCUCGAAGUCCCUGUAUGUUAUUAACAUUGUGGCUGAAUGUCAUUUGUUAUUCAACAGUAUGGCCUGAUCCUGAUGCUUUGUUAUUUGAUAUAAUCCAAAUUGGAUUACCCCUGUAUUCUUUGAACCUAUUCAUUGUUCUGUAUGCUUGGUAACAGGCUAACAAUCAUACCACAAUUAAGUUAUUAACCCUAAUUCCAAAGGGUGUGUUUGGUUUAGAGGAUAAAAAUAGGGAGGAUGGAAAUAGAAGGAGAUUUUUUUUAAUUAAAGUAGAGUGUAAAGAGGUGUGAGUCUGACAAAAAAAAUUACAAAAUUUCUCUUGUAUAUUAUUUCCAUCCUUCAAAACAAACACACCCUAAAUGAAGAUGGUUGCCUCGAAUAAGAAUCCAAGUCUAAAUUCUACAAGCGGAAUAUGUAGUUUGUGGAAUAAAUAAAUCCAUAUCAGUUGUUGUAUGCUGUCUGAGUUCACUCUAUAUGUUCUCUUACUUGCUUUGGUUUUUAGAGUAUACUUUUUCUUCUUCUUUAUCAUUGUUAUUUGAAUUUCUGUCAUCAGAUUGGUGGAAAUGGUUUUAGGCUUCUGAUUUUGUUUACAUGACUUUGGUAUUCUCCCAGGACGCCUUAUGAAAACCACAGUCGAUAGACUGCUGAUGUGCUGGUUGGCCUUCACAGGCCUCACACACACGAUUAUUGAGGGUUAUUUUGUUUUCUCACCUGAGUUUUUCAAGGAUAGGAAUGGCUUCUACCUGGCUGAAGUUUGU
rnacentral:lncRNA from 1 species